rnacentral:rRNA from 1 species
GACGUAGGUGGCGAACGUUAUCCGGAAUUAUUGGGCGUAAAGGGUGCGUAGAUGGCUUGAUAAGUUAGCAGUGGGAAAUCGAGGCUCAACCUCGUGGAAGCUGGUAAUACUGUCAGGCUCGAGUGCAGGAGAGGUUAACGGAACUCCAUGUGGAGCGGUAAAAUGUGUAGAUAUAUGGAGGAACACCGGUGGCGAAGGCGGGUCUCUGGGCCGAUACUGACGCUGAGGAGCGAAAGCGUGGGGAGCGAACAGG